GCCAGGAAGGAGGAGGCAGCCAGAGUGUUCUCUGCAGCAGAAGACCCCUUGCUGCCCUGCUCAACCCAGACCAGCAUUUGCCAGGUUUCAGUCUACCUGGACACGAGCACUGAUGGGUAGAUUGUCAUCACUCGGCCCCUCUGCUGAACAUUUGUCAUUACUGGAUUACAGUCAGGCCAAGGAGAUCCUCAAACAGAGGGUCUUGGACAUUGAACAUCAGAACGACUUAAGCUCCAUCCUGGAGACCAUAAGAGGGCGCCUUGGUGAUUUUGACUGGGAACAUGCAAGCUAUCUAUUGUCCCGCUCUUUACCAAGCCAUCACAGAAUUUUCCUUAGAGCAAGAUAUGAUGCCUUACCAUCAGCGGUCUUAUCGGGAAGGUUUUUGAAAACCCUUCUAGCCAGUCGGUUAUGCCCCUGUGACUCAGGUGAGGUCGAAUCUGUCCACCAUGUGCUGUUGUUUUGUCCUUUGUAUAAUGAUAGCCGGUGCAGUCUUAUUUCUCCCUUGCUAUCACGCUUUCCUGGCUGAACUGCUGAUUUUACGCCAUACUCCUCUUGGCAGAUAAGAAACCUUCUACCUCCUACAAGGUUGCCAAAUUUUGUGCAGCUGCUGUUAAGAUCUAUCAACAGCUAACCUCUAAUCCUUCUUUUUAGAUGUUGUUACAUAAAGCUUCUAUGUUGAUGUAUUCUGAAUGAUUUAUGUCUUAUCUGAAUGCAGUAUCAUCUGUUUGUAUAUAUAACUGAUCAAUGAUCAUAAUAAAGUAUUUCAUUUCAUUUCA